AGAAUCAACGCUGGCGGCGUGCCUAACACAUGCAAGUCGCACGAGAAAGGGGAGCAAUCCCUGAGUAAAGUGGCGCACGGGUGAGUAACACGUGAAUCAUCUACCUUCGAGUGGGGAAUAAACUGGAAGAAAUUUCAGCUAAUACCGCAUAAUACCUACGGGUCAAAGCAGUAAUGCGCUUGAAGAGGAGUUCGCGGCAGAUUAGUUAGUUGGCGGGGUAAUGGCCCACCAAGACGAUGAUCUGUA
rnacentral:rRNA from 1 species